GGCCAUCACCCCAGCAGACUGAGUAUCGUAAUAAGUGUGAGUUUCUGGUUGGCGUCGGGGUGGAUGGGGAGGAUAACACCGUGGGCUGUCGGCUCGGCAAGUACAAGGGCGGGACGUGUGCUGUGGCAGCCCCGUUUGACACCGUGCACAUCCCCGAAGCCACCAAGCAGGUGGUGAAGGCCUUCCAGGAGUUCAUCCGGUCCACUCCAUACUCGGCAUACGACCCAGAGACGUACACAGGCCACUGGAAGCAGCUGACUGUGCGCACUAGCCGCCGCCGCCAGGCCAUGGCCAUUGCCUACUUCCACCCCCAGAAGCUGAGCCCUGAGGAGCUGGAAGAGCUGAAGACCUCCCUAGCACAGCACUUCACAGCAGGGCCAGGCAGGGCCAGUGGAGUGACCUGCCUCUACUUCGUGGAGGAGGGACAGCGGUAAGGAGCCCGAGUGGGGCGGGGCAGGUCCCUGCAGGGACUGUGACACUGAAGGACCUGCACCUUCACCCACAGAAAGACUCCUAGCCAGGAGGGCCUGCCCCUGGAACAUGUGGCUGGGGACCGGUGCAUCCACGAGGACCUGCUAGGGCUGACCUUCCGGAUCUCUCCACACGCCUUCUUCCAGGUGAACACACCCGCAGCCGAGGUGCUCUACACAGUCAUCCAGGACUGGGCCCAACUGGAUGCGGGGAGCACGGUGCUGGACGUGUGCUGUGGCACCGGCACCAUUGGCCUGGCCCUGGCCCGGAAGGUAAAGAGGGUCAUUGGGGUCGAGCUAUGCCCAGAGGCUGUGGAGGACGCCCGGGUGAACGCCCAGGACAAUGAGUUGAGUAAUGUGGAGUUCCACUGCGGGAGGGCCGAGGACCUGGUGCCCACCCUGGUGAGCAGACUGGCCUCCCAGCACCUCGUGGCCAUCCUGGACCCACCCCGUGCUGGCUUGC
rnacentral:sRNA from 1 species